CAAGGCGACGAUCCCUAGCUGGUCUGAGAGGAUGACCAGCCACACUGGAACUGAGACACGGUCCAGACUCCUACGGGAGGCAGCAGUGGGGAAUAUUGCACAAUGGGCGCAAGCCUGAUGCAGCCAUGCCGCGUGUAUGAAGAAGGCCUUCGGGUUGUAAAGUACUUUCAGCGGGGAGGAAGGUGUUGUGGUUAAUAACCGCAGCAAUUGACGUUACCCGCAGAAGAAGCACCGGCUAACUCCGUGCCAGCAGCCGCGGUAAUACGGAGGGUGCAAGCGUUAAUCGGAAUUACUGGGCGUAAAGCGCACGCAGGCGGUCUGUCAAGUCGGAUGUGAAAUCCCCGGGCUCAACCUGGGAACUGCAUUCGAAACUGGCAGGCUUGAGUCUUGUAGAGGGGGGUAGAAUUCCAGGUGUAGCGGUGAAAUGCGUAGAGAUCUGGAGGAAUACCGGUGGCGAAGGCGGCCCCCUGGACAAAGACUGACGCUCAGGUGCGAAAGCGUG
rnacentral:rRNA from 1 species